AUGAGAUGCGAUCACCUAGAGAAACAAAUUUUAAUUCCUUGUCAUGUAGGAGAGCUCCUUAACGUAACUGAAUGCUUGACAAAUAAGUGUUGUCCUUCAGAAACCAGCCAUGAUCUGAAAUGUUAUCUGCCACUUGUGGACAGGAUGCAAGUGAUGUUUCGAGUGCUUGUGUUUGUGGCAGGAGGACUUUUUAUGUUGGUGUGUCUACCAUUGUGUUGCUGCACCUGUUUGCAUAAAAGUCAUUGUGUCAAUCCUUUACGAAGACCAAACAAGAAACUAUUGAAAAUUGCGUU
rnacentral:lncRNA from 1 species